AACGAACGCUGGCGGCAGGCUUAACACAUGCAAGUCGAACGCUCGUAGCAAUACGGGAGUGGCGGACGGGUGAGUAACGCGUGGGAACGUGCCCUGAGGUACGGAAUAACUGAGGGAAACUUCAGCUAAUACCGUAUGAGCCCCGAGAGGGGGAAAGAUUUAUCGCCUUGGGAGCGGCCCGCGUCGGAUUAGCUAGUUGGUGGGGUAACGGCCUACCAAGGCUUCGAUCCGUAGCUGGUCUGAGAGGACGAUCAGCCACACUGGGACUGAGACACGGCCCAGACUCCUACGGGAGGCAGCAGUGGGGAAUCUUGCGCAAUGGGGGGCAACCCUGACGCAGCCAUGCCGCGUGAACGAUGAGGGCCUUAGGGUUGUAAAGUUCUUUUACCCGUGACGAUGAUGACGGUAACGGGGGAAUAAGCUCCGGCUAACUUCGUGCCAGCAGCCGCGGUAAU
rnacentral:rRNA from 1 species